UUUAUUGACGAGGUCAGCGUCUCACCUGAGAGCGGUGGAACUACAAAACGCCAUUGUUUCCAGUCGAAGAGGGACAGGAAGUCCUACUACAACUAGAUGCAAUGUGUGUGUUGUGCGUGGAUGGAUAACGACACAUCUGAGCAGCAACCCAGAGGCUUAGAUACCAGCUUCCGACAACAUUUUCAUAUUGCAUCGCAUUAAGCGGAAAGGCACGAAUCCUCCUCGCGGAUCCACUGAUGACAUUUAAGCAGGUCGGUGGUGCUAAGUGAAGGGCCGUGUAAAAGAGGGUUGUAGAGACGAACCUGCUGUGCAGUGUGUGUGUGUGUGUGUGAGUGAGUGUGCGCGCGUGUGUGUGUGUGUGUGUGGGUGAAAGGGGCUCUCAGUCAUGGGUG